CAGCUGCCAGUGCCAUUUUUGUGAUUUGCAGCUAGUAAUCUGGGUCCAGUUGCAUAGUCACAAAAGUGAGCAUUGGCAGCCGUGCCU
ensembl:miRNA